CGGGCUCCUCCCGCUGGGGCGGCCGCGUCGUGGCUUAGCCAGGUCGGGCCCGGCUCGUCCUUCCCGGGACGCGCCCAAACGCCGCCGGGCUGAGGGGCAGGGUGCCGGAGCCGCGGUGCCCCGUCGGGCGGGCGCGGCGGCGGGCUGGCAGGCAGGGCGGGCGGUGGGGACGGGCGCAGCCGCUCCCCGCGGCUGCGGGGAAGCUGGGGAGGAACCUGUUGAUAGAGCCUGAAAGGUGGCCGGUUUCUUUCAAGCGUGAUCUAGUCCGAUCUUAGAUCUAGAUAAGGAACAGCUGCUCGCUCUACCGGUGCCGAAACCGGUUGAGUUUAACACGAGGCUUUCCUCGGGAAUGUCAGUUUUUGAACUGCUGCUGCACGCCGAGGCUGCGAACCUGAAAGUGCAUCCACAGAUGAGCAGAAGUGAGCAGGAUGCAGUGCAUUCCCACGUUUCAUCCUUCCCAGCUUCGUGUUCUCUACGGUUGUAAAGCCCCCUGAGCUGUCUGUUUCAGGAUCCUAAAAACUGAAGGCAUGUGAAGGGUUUGCUGUGUACAAGAGGGCUAUUCCACCAGGGAAAUAUUGCUGGGGUACUAGAGGUGGUGGCAAGACAGCCGGAGACAACGCUUUCACCAUCAAGGACACCAUCAAGGUCCUGCAGUGGUCAGACCAGAAAAGCAAAGCAGUUCGGGAACAGCGAAGUCUCUACUGACGAGGGAGAUCCGAGGUCAAGCCAGGGAAGUUGAGACAGCAGACCAGGGUUGGGAUCAGCAAGGUAUCUGCCUGGGCAGAUGUAUCAUCAGAACUUCUGCGCUGCUAUGGACCAACACCUGAAGAUGUGGUGGAAAAGAGUUACAGCCCAUUGCUUUCUGCAUUGCUGUGCAGCGUCUCAUCACAGUGUCCCACCUGGUAUAGCCCCAGCCUGCCCAAGGCAAUCUAGCUUCCUCAUUUGUGUGCACUUAUAAAACUACACAUUGUAAAGAAUCUGGGAGUAAAAACUGCCAUUAUCAAGAACUUCUUGAUGGAACUCAGGAAAUUCUAACUAUUGUCACCUUAAAUAAAUGGUUUAAAAAAAAUCACAUAUGUAAUCAACCAUACUCAUACUCAGCCAGGUCUCAAUAAAGGUAGAUCUUUACCGUACAUCUUGUAAUGUUUCACGCUUCUUUUCAGUGUCACUGUAUCCCUUAGAAAAAGUAGUGGGAGGCAUCUCUAGGGAUAUUCCUACAUAUAUAUAUACAAACAAUCUCCAAAAACUAAAAAUUAAGUAUUAUCUCCAACAACUCAGAGAGCAAUUGGAUCUACCUGCUUUGGUUGGUCUAAGGUCUGAUAUCUUCUAAAGUAUGAUUAAAUGUCAGAUGAAGAGCAAUAGGUCUUCAUCUUUUUCUCUUGAGCCUCUACCACUACCUUAUUUCUUGGUUAACGACAGCAGUACCAACAGCAAUUAGUCUGUAAUGUAGGCAUUUAAAUUCUAAUAGAAGGUCUAGAUACUUGAUAUCCAGGCUACAUCCAGGAGGCAGAUUCCCUUUGCCCUGCAUAAAGACUUUCUUGUACAUCUGUAUAGCAAUAAAUCUGGACUAAGCAACUGUCAUUUUCAUCAAUCUCUGAUUGGCCCAUUGAUCCAACUUCCAUCAUUUCUCCUUUCAAACAGUAACUAUUUUUUUUCAUCUUCUCUUCAGAUUUAGGAGACUUCCUUCACAAGCGUCUUCAAAACCAUUUUUCUCUUUGCCUUUGUCAUGGUGUUUUUAGAACACCAGCAAUGAAGAUGCAUGACUUUGAUGAUUAUGGUGGUGACAAUAACAAACUACAUUUUUAAUUCACCUUUUCAAUUUACCUAGUACCUUUUCAAAUGCUUUAGCUUUUGUCAUUAGUGUCACUAAUGUCAAUGAAAUACCAUUUUAUUGUGCACAAUCAGUAUCUUCUGCUUUAGCUCUACAUCUCUCUUCUCUCAUUUCCACUUAAUAAAAUGGAUUUUAGAUUUUUUCCAGAUGCAAUUGUCCACAGUUUACUAAUCUGUAUCUUUUUGUUUUCCCAUGGUUGUGCUUCUAAUCUCCCUAAAUCCUUUCGUAUGAUCUCUAUCUUUACUCAUUUGUACUCAAUUCCUCCCAUUUAACAUAAUCUGCAAAUUUUAUUGAUUUUUUGUGUAUUUCCUUUCCCAGGUCUCCAUUAAUGAAGACAGCAAAUAGGACCAGCUCUAAAACUAAUCAAGUGAUAUAUGAACAAGCACUUUCUGUUAUUCACUUAGCCAUCUCUGUGUUCAAAUGAUGCAGAUGUUUGUAUGUACUGUGCAAUAAUGCAGCUUACCUGAACUCUCAAAAAAAGAGGACAAGCAUAACUUGGUAGAUAGGUCACUACUUGCUUAUAUAUUUGCUCCAAAUCCAACGACGUAUUCUGCUUUAGAAUAAGAGAGGCCAUUCCUGCUUUUCCUUCAUGAUCUGGGCAGAAAAAGUGAAAUAAGAAUUUUGAAACAUGGAUGAAGUUGACAUUUUGUUGAUGAACCUUACAAAAAAGAAAUUAAUGAAUCAAUAAAAUGACAGUCAUAUAUCAUCUUCUGCGUUUUAGUAAAGCUAGAAGAUUAUAUUAAUAUAUUAUAUGGUAUUACAUAUAUUUGGAGAUCACUCAAGUGAUCGAUUAAGCAAUAAUGCUGUAAAUGAGUUAGGAGUCCCAUGCUCAAUAUAAAUCAAUAAAGGUGGAAAACAUCAACACCAUUCUUCUCUCAGAAACAAGAGGGCUGAGCCUCUUUCCUGGAUCAGAUAAUUAUGUCUUCUUUUCAGUUUUAGCCUUUCUCUCUUGCCGUUAUCUUCUCUCAAAACUGUGGGUCUGAAUGUCCUUAACACAGAGAGAGAUUGCAAGUUCUGACUUGUUUAGGUGGAAAGAGAGAGCACUGUGGAUCUAUGGGAAAGAUCAAAAUCGGAAAAAUAUAGAAGCAAUGAACUUCAGCAAUCAAAAAUAACCACACACUUUGACUACCAGGUAGUAAUAAUGGCAAAGACAUUCUGCCAAUGAUAUCUUUUGUCUCCUUUCCAUAUAUAUAGGGGUUUUUUGUUUUGUUUUGUUGGGUUUUUUUUGCUAAUGCUACAAAAUCUGUAAUGAACUUGAUUUGUGUCUGUUUAACUGCAGUUAUCAAUAGAGUCACAUAAACUGGGUAGGAAUCUGCAGAUAAGACUUGUAUAGGAAAUGAGAAGCUCUCAUAUUUUUGCGUCCAAUUUUCGAUCAGUCUGCUUUAUUAUGAUCUUUCUUAUUGUGUGGCUUUAAAUUAGAGGUGGCACUUUUUUCACAUUUUAAACUCUUUUUAUCAUUUUGCAGUGGGUUCAGCCUGCAUCCAGCCAGCUUCUCACUCACUCCCUUCUCCCAUGGAAUGGCAAAGGAAUAGAAGGAAGACAAGAAGAUUCACGUAUCAAGAUAAUGGCAAUUUAAUAGGGAAGGCAAAAGUUACAUGCAGAAGCAAAGCAAAACCAGGACUUCCUUAGUUAUUUCGCAUUGUCAGGCAGACACAAACAUCUUACCCUCUUCCUUUCCCAAGCUUUUAGCACUGAGCAUGGCAUCAUCUGAUAUGGAAUAUCCCCUUGCUUAGUUUAGGCCCAAUGUCCCAUCUACAUCUGCUCCCGAUUUCUUGCCCACCCCAGCAUACUUGCUGCAGGGAGAAAGCCUUGAUACUGUGCAAGUUUUUUUUAGUGAUAGCCAAGCAUUGGUAAGUUAUCAACACGGGUUUAGCUACUCAUGCAAAGCACAGCACCAUACGGACUCCUAUAAAGAAGCUUAUCUUUAACCUAGACAGAUAUAAUACACAUUUUAAGAAAAGAUUUAGCAUGAAUGAGAAUAAAGCUCAGAUGAUCUCAUGAAAAUUAACAAAAAAAAAAAAGUAUAUUUUAUUUUUUAAUUUAUUUUUCUCUUUGUUUUCUUAUUUUUUUUAAUUUUCUUUUUGACCUUGUCCUUGGUUUUGUAAUACACCUGUUUACAGAUGAUUUAUGAGGCUAAGUGGAAAGUAAAAUAAUACAGACGAAUGUCAUUGCACACUUUCCCUUAGAGUUACUUUACCUACAACUCUUACCUUGUUGACAUUUUAUUUUGACACAUAGAUGUGUAGAUUUUCCAUGGAUAUGAAUUUAAUAAAUCUUUAAACUUUAAUUUAUAUUAUGUAACUAUAGAAUCUUUUGGGUUGGAAAGACCUUUAAGAUCAUCGAGUCCAACCAUUAACCCAGCACUGGCAAGCCCACCGCUGAACCAUGUCCCCAGGCACCACAUCUCCACCUCUCCGCAUAUUCAUGAAAGGUUACUUUUAAAAAAUACACAUUACUGCAUGCACAUAAAAAUGUAUGAUUCAAUGGCUCAUUCAUAAUCUGGUAGUAUUUUCAAUAUUUCUAUGUAAAUUUUUAUUAGGUUUAAAACAUGAAAUAAAAAGUUAUGAGGGUUAACAACUAACGCAGGCGAAUGAAAACAUACAGCUAAAGCUUUUACCUGGCACAGAUACACCAUACACAUUUGCUUCUUGUAUGAAGUCCAACAUUACAAUGAUAUCAGAAACUUCUGUAGUUGCCACAUUCUCCCCUUUCCAUCUAAAACACAUUAGAAAAUAAUUUACUCCCAUGAAAACAUAGGGACACCUCUUCUUGAAAAAAACAUUAACUUUAUUAGGAACUCCAUUCCUUUCAGACUAACACCACCUCAAAUUUGUUCCCACUUAUCACACUGGUAUGUUGAUCUGAUCACCGGAAGGCUUGCAAUUCAAAUGGUACUGAAUAUUAGCUAUUACUAUAAAGCACAGUGAAAGCUGAUUAUAAUCUGAUAUAA